UGCCUGGGGAUCUGCCCAGUCCAGGGGGAUAACAGAUGCAAACGACUGCUAAUACCGCAUACGCCCUACGGGGGAAAGGAGGGGACCUUCGGGCCUUUCGCGAUUGGAUGAGCCCAGGUGGGAUUAGCUAGUUGGUGAGGUAAUGGCUCACCAAGGCGACGAUCCCUAGCUGGACUGAGAGGAUGAUCACCCACACUGGAACUGACACACGUGCCAACACUCCUACGGGAGGCACUCCUGGGGAAUAUUGCACAAUGGGGGAAACCCUGAUGCAGCCAUGCCGCGUGUGUGAAGAACGCCUUCGGGUUGAAAGCACUUUCAGCGAGGAGGAAAGGAUGCUGGCUAAUAUCCAGCAUCUGUGACUGUACUCCCCCAAGAAGCACCGGCUAACUCCGUGCCAGCUGCCGAGGUACUACGGAGGGUGCAAGUGCUAAUCGGAAUUACUGGGCGUAAAUCGCACGCAGGCGGAUGGAUAAGUUA
rnacentral:rRNA from 1 species